rnacentral:rRNA from 1 species
CAGCCGCCGCGGGAAUGCGAACCGUGCGAACGUUAUUCGGAAUUACUGGGCUUAAAGCGCGUGUAGGCGGGCCGCCACGUCGGUUGCUGAAAUCCCCCGGCUCAACCGGGGAAGUGGCAUCGAUACGAGCGGCCUUGAGGGGGGUAGGGGGAUCUGGAACUUCCGGUGGAGCGGUGAAAUGCGUUGAGAUCGGAAGGAACGCCCGUGGCGAAAGCGAGGUCCUGGACCCUUUCUGACGCUGAGACGCGAAAGCCAGGGGAGCGAACGGGAUUAGAUACCCCUGUAGUCCCUGUCUCUUAUA